CAGAAGAUAGUUUAUAUAAAAUAUUAAUUUUGGGGAUUAAUGAUGAGAAUUUUCUUUCUUCUGA
rnacentral:tRNA from 1 species